AUCUUAACGGCAUUUCCAUAAGAUUGCUAACUAUAGCUCAUCAAAGUUCUCCAGGGGAACAGAACCAGUGCUUAUUACUUAUUUAUUUGUUUAUAUCUCUAUCUAUUUGCUGAUAUUUAUUAUGAGGAACUGGCUCAUAUAAUUAUGGAGGCUAAGAAGUCUCGCUGCCUGCAAUCUACAACCUAGAGACCCAGGAAGGCCAGUGGUGUAGUUCAGUCCUAAAGUCUUAGAACCAGGGGAUCCAGGCAAUGGUUCAAAUCCCCAUCUGAAGGCAGAAGAAGAUUCUGUGAGAGGCCCUACUCAAACAGGAAGGCAACCACAAACUUCCUCCGCUUUUUUGUUCUAUUUAGGCCCUUAGUGGAUUAGAUGGUGUCAACCCAAGUUAUAUAGGGGUUCACUAAUUCAAAUACAGAAUUACCCUUACAGACACACUCAGAAAUAAUGUCUAAUCUGAGCACCCCAUGGCCCAUCAAGUUAACAUAAAAUUAACCACCCUAAUGAAUAAAUUGGGAUAAAGUAACUCCAUUGUUUUUAGUAAUCUGACAAAAGCUGCAAAAGUAAGAAUAACUGGAGGCAGAAAUGUUCCAUAACGUAGGAAAAAGUUGGCAAAUGCUCACUGAUAUUCUGUCUACCCGUUUAUCAUACUACGCUUAUCUCACCUCUGGUUUCUACUUCUUCCAUUCCUUUAAGUAAAUUUUGCAAAAAUCUCACUUCAGUAACAUGACUUUGUUUUAAAAAAAAAAUCAAACAAAUUUUUCAUUGUUCCUCAUUGCCUAAAGUACCUAACUUCAAUUUUCCUCAUUGCCUAAAGGACCUAACUCCAGUUCUUAAUGUGGCCAGUUGGCUGAGAUGUCAUUUUUGGUUUUUCUCCCAGUUUGUUCUUGCUGUUCCAUUUCUUCUUUCAAGCAAGUAGCCAGACUCUGUACCCCCUUAUCUCAGGGAAGGUCUGUGGCAGUGAGGAGAUCACAAGAUGUCUCAUGGGGUAUCUAACUUUUGUUUUCUAAAAGUUGGAGAAGUUUAGGAUAAACAUCCUGGAGAAAGGCUCAAGAAGUACCAGGUAUGGAUAACGUUUACAGAUUUUAACUGAUGUUGAAAUCAGUAUGAAAUUGAGCACAUGAUGGACUUUGAGGUCUUUUUUUUAAUAAUGAUUUUUAUUUUUUCCAUUAUAGCUGAUUUAUAGUAUUCUGUCAACUUUCUACUGCACUGCAGGGUGACCCAGUCACACAUACAUGUAUACAUUCAUUUUUCUCACAUUAUCAUGCUCCAUCACAAGUGACCAGACAUAGUUCCCAGUGCUAUACAGCAGGAUAGCAUUGUUUAUCCAUUCCAUAAGCUUCUAUUCUUCAUAUGCAGCUGCCCAUUGGGCAUAUCUGGGGGGGGGUAGAUAUUUUUGAAUAAAUUUUUAAAAUCCCCUUCUAUUCCUAACUUGCUAUUUUGUUAUGUAAUACUUAAUUUUAUCAUAAUACUUCCUCCAUGUUUAUUGAGAUGAUUGCCUAUUUGUUGGCUUUUUAUCUGUGAAAGAAGUCAAUUAAGUUUAUAGUUUCUCUAAUAAUGUAUUACCUUCUGAUACCUGAGAUGAAAUCAACUAGGCUGUAGUGUAUUAUCUUUUUCAGACUUCUGGGAAUUUUUUUAAUUAAUAAUUUUAUUAGUAUUUUGUUUAGGAGUUUUGCAUCUAAGGUUAUGAUUGUACUUGGUUUAUAUUUUUCCUUUCUAAUAUGAUCCCUACUUGCUUUUCAUGUUGAUCUUAGCCUAGCCUCAUGAAAUCAGCCAGUGUUAUUUUUCAAUUUACUAGGAAAAAAUAUUUUUAUAAAUUUUUUAUUGAAGUAUAGUUGAUUUACAGUGUUGUGGAAAAAUUAGAUAUAAGGUUUCUUUUCUUUCCUUUUUUUUUUUUUUUGGUCUUUUUUAGGGCCACACCCACAGCAUAUGGAGGUUCUUAGGCUAGGCGUCUAAUUGGAGCUCUAGCCACUAGCCUAUGCCACAGCCACAGCAAUGCCAGAUCUGAGCUGCAUCUGCGACCUACACCACAGCUCACGGCAACCCACUGAGCGAGGCCAGGGAUCGAACCCACAACCUCACUGUUCCUACCCGCAUUCAUUUCUACUGUGCCAUGACGGGAACUACAAAAUUAUAAGUUAACUAGACAAAAUCUAUUUAUUAGAUUAGAAUGAUCUCUUGAAUUUUUGAUAGAACCUUCUAUGAAACUAAGCUAAGUCUUUUCUUUGUGGGAAUAUUUUUUUAACUGCUCACUCUAUAUUUUAGUGAUUGAUUAUAGGACAUUUCAGACUCUCCAGACUCUCCAAUUCUUCUUGAAUGGGUUUGAGUAUGUUGCAUUCAAAUAGCAUUGUAUAGGCUGUGACCACGAUUCUUAAAUUUUCAAAUUUAUGGGUAUAAAGAUCUUCACAUACUUCUAUUACUAUAGUUUUACUUCCUGUAUGUGUGUUUUCUCUGUUUUUCUUAAUAAGUUCUGAAAAAGUUUGUUAUCUUUCAGUCUUUUCAUAGAAAUAUAUUUUGCCCUUGUUGAAUGUCUUUAUUUUGUCAUUAUUUCCUAUCUUAUUAAUUUAUUCUACUAUAUUAAUUUUUUUCUAUUUCUUGGGUUUAUUCUAAUGUUCUCCAUACUUUGAACUGGACAUUUAGCUUGCACGUUUAAAGGUACCCUUUUAAUUUAUGUAGAAUAUAGUUUUGUUAGUGUAGGGUUCUCUCAGUUUCCUUCACUGCCCCAAAUGGAAGUCCUUGAAGUAAAGUUUGUUGAGUGAUUGAGGCAGGAGGAUAGCUCUAUUCCAGCUCUAUUCCAGACUAAUAAUACUUUACUAAUAAUACACCUGUAGUAUUAUAUUCAUUUCUCUUUACAUAAUUAAAUGAUACAUUAACAAAUAGAGAGUGCACACUGAUAAAGGUAAACAGAGUGGUAGGAUGUCUGAAAUUCAUGACCUAUGAGGAGAUACUGAAAUAACUCUUGAUUAUUUAACCUAGAAAUUAGAAUGGGAGGAGAUGAGGUUUUCAGAAUCUUCAAGUACCAUGGUAUGAAAGAGAGAUUGGAUUUUUUUUGAAUUCUAAAUGACAAAAUUAGUUUACGAGAUAAAAUUUAGAAACUAGGGCUUGAUUCAAGAAAUAAAUAACCAAGUGGUAGGAAAUCCAUUAUGAUAGGAAUUAUUCAGAGGCUGGCCCACCACAUAACUGAAUAUUGUAGUGGAAUGUCAUGUGUGAGUUAGAUAUGUGAAUUUUACUUGGGAUUUUAUGAUAUUAAACUCAGUAACCUUUGAAAAGAGAUCCUGUAGCUCCUACUGCUUUUAUUUCUACUACAGUAUCCACAACUCCCUAAAUGAGCUCUAUGAAUACUGGAAAUGAAUGUAUAAGUGAAUGAAUGAAUGAGUAAAUGAGUCAUAACAACAGCAAAUAUGAGUGGUCUCUCACUUUCCCAUCUUGUCUGCAGUUAACACAGCCAUACACUUAGGUGUGUGUGUGUGUGUGUGUGUGUGUGUGUGUGUGUGUGUGUGUGUGUGAGAGAGAGAGAGAGAGAGAGAGAGAGAGAGACAGAGAGAGAGAGAGACAGAGAGAGACAUGUGGGAGGAAAAGGUAAUCUGUUAAAAUCCAAUCCCUGGAAGUGAUUUCUUAUUCAGGUCAAGUAAAACCCUCAGUGUUUCAAUUCAGUGACACCCUGGGAAUGAUUAUGGAUCAGGUUUCAUCACCUGUUAGCAGUGGGACUGAAAGGCUGAGCUAUUUUUGAUGGAUGGCCCUUCAGAGUGUGUCUCUGACAGUACCCUUGGUUCGCCCCUUCUUAACUACUUCCUUAAUGCAGUAUUCUGAUAAUCUUCCUUCUGUGGCUCCUGAGACAGGACAGGACAUCUGCUUUCUUUAGUAAACUCUGUCUGCCUUCCUAUCUUCAUAGUAAAUUACUUACUGGCCCUACUUUUCCACAUGGGGGGAGAAUUAGAUCUUGUACUCUAAUUUCAUUCAUCAACUUUGUCCAGUCUCCCCCACUCACCUUCCCAUCCAAUUUCGGCUCUGCAUCAGGAACAUCUUUCAACAACAAAAAUGUUGAUAAUUCAGCUUCCUUGUCUACCCUUGUGCAGUAAUUUUUUUUUUCCAUUACCCGAUAAAAUCCCAACUCUGUAGCAUAGCUUAAGAGAGGCUGCAAAAUCUGGAACUUGCCUACCACUCCUGAGUCUUUCCUCACUAAAUCUUAUCUACAUGGGCUAGGAAAUCUUUGAUUCUUUGAUACAAACCAUUCUCUAUAUCUUUUAUCUAGGUCAUUAUGUAAGUUGUUGCUUUUGCCUGGAACCCUCACUGACAAAAUUAGUUUGGCUUAGCAAAAAGAACCUGAAAUGUUUGAGACAUGUAUGGCAGGGGUAAAUCUUAGUCAAGGAAGCAU
rnacentral:lncRNA from 1 species